rnacentral:rRNA from 1 species
UACAUGGGGUGCAAACGUUGCUCGGAAUUAUUGGGCGUAAAGGGCGCGUAGGCGGCCAUGCGUGUCUUCCGUGAAAUCCCUCGGCUCAACCGAGGACGUGCGGAAGAAACUGCAAGGCUCGAGUCCGGAAGAGGGGGGCGGAAUUCCCAGUGUAGCGGUGAAAUGCGUAGAUAUUGGGAGGAACACCAGUGGCGAAGGCGGUCCCCUGGGCCGGAACUGACGCUGAGGCGCGAAAGCGUGGGGAGCGAACAGG